GUCUCUGUAGCACAAUGAAAAGCGUGUUGAAUUUUUAAUUCAAAGUCGUGGGUUCGAAUCCCAACUGGAAUG